AUUAUGUCUACAUAAUUUGGAGGUUAUUGGUAAGUUUCACAUUAAUUGCACAAUUUGAUGAGUUUUUUUUUUUUUUUUGAGAUGGAGUCUCACCUUAUCACCAGGCUGGAGCGCAGUGAUGCGAUCUCAGCUCAUUGCAACCUCCGCCUCCUGGUUCAAGUGAUUCUUCUGCCUCGGCCUCCCAAAGUGUUGGGAUUACAGGCAUGAGCCACCGAGCCUCGCCAAUGAGUUUUAACAUAUAUAUACACAGUCAAACCAUCCCCACAAUCAAGAAAAUGAACAGAUCCAUCACCCCCCAAAGUUUCCUCCUGACUUUUUGUAAUCAAUCCCUCCUCCUCCAUCUCUGCUGUGUUUCCCUUAGAUGAGCCCAGGAGUUCAAGACCAGAUGGCAUCUCUCUCAUUCCUGAUAUUGAUUUUAUCUUCUUCCUUUAUUUUUUUCUUGAUCAGUCUGGCUAGCGGUUUAUCCAUUUUAUUGACGUUCUCAAAGAACCAGCUUUUGGUUUCAUUGAUCUUUCUCCAUUGUUUUUCUCUUUUUCGUUUCUUUUUUUUUUUUUUUUAAGGAGGGGUCCUGCGGCCGGGUGCGGUGGCUCACACCUGUAAUCCCAGCACUUUGAAAGCCCGAGGCGGGAGGAUCACGAGGUCAGGAGAUUGAGACCAUCCUGGCUACACGGUGAAACCCCGUCUCUACUAAAAAUACAAAAAAUUGCCGGGCGUGGUGUCACGCACCUGUAGUCCCA
rnacentral:lncRNA from 10 species